UACCGCGAUGCCCUCUGUCUGAACUAAUGCGAAAGUCACGUCAGAGCAUUUUCCCUAUUGUUUUUGUAAGUUUUCAUAGUUUAUGCUGAUUUUCAAAGCUUUUUUAUAUUAAAUUCAGUGUUUUAAGAGGUGAAUUGUCAGUAGUAGUAAAAGUUAUGUUGAAAUUGGUUGAAUUUAAGUGAAAAGGACAAAUGUUUUGGAAGGACGCCGAGUGAAAUCACCUAAAGCUAUGUUCAGUCGGUUCGUUCGAAAAUUUAAAAAGUGCCUUGGAAUGAAUCAUGGCGUGCGAUCCAAAUGAAAUAUUACACUGGAGCUGGCACCAUAAAGCAAACGGCGUGGCACAGGCGAUACAACGAUAGCGUCACUGGGGCCCGACAGACACCAGACUCGACUUUCUGAACAUACAGCGUGCUCCAUGUGGCCUAACGUCUGAUAUCGAUAAUAUUUUGACGAUCAUUAGUCGACUUUUCCAGUACAAAGGCAAACAUUUCAUCAGUGAAUGAUGUAUACGAACGAAGCGACAUUAACUGUUAUGGAGCAGAUGUCAUACUAUAAAUAACAGAUAAAUAGAAGUGGGCAUCAAAGUCACAAAAAUAUGCAUCACAUAUAUAUAUGGACAGCUUAUCAUGCACCGUAAAGAUUCAGAUUCAAAUGAAAGAAAUGGAAUAAAGAUAUAUACCUAGUGCUCAGCUCGGAAGUGAAAAUUUAAAAUAUUGGUGGCGAUGUGUGAGACGGUAUCGCGAGCGAAGUUUGCGGUCGCUAGUGGCGGGAAGGCGCUGUAGGCCAGGCGACCGGCGCGGCUCGACUCACGCAGUCUACUGACACGCGCGCCGCCCCGCGCGCUGCCUGCGAU